AACGAACGCUGGCGGCAGGCUUAACACAUGCAAGUCGAACGCUCGUAGCAAUACGGGAGUGGCGGACGGGUGAGUAACGCGUGGGAACGUGCCCUGAGGUACGGAAUAACUGAGGGAAACUUCAGCUAAUACCGUAUGAGCCCCGAGAGGGGAAGGAUUAUCGCCUUGGAGCGGCCCGCGUCGGAUUAGCUAGUUGGUGGGGUAACGGGCCUACCAAGGCUUCGAUCCGUAGCUGGUCUGAGAGGACGAUCAGCCACACUGGGACUGAGACACGGCCCAGACUCCUACGGGAGGCAGCAGUGGGGAA
rnacentral:rRNA from 1 species